GCCUUGCUCUUUAAGGUCUCUGGUGGGAUGGGUAUUUGAUGCUAUCUGUCUGUAGAUCUGAUUACCUGGGUCUGUGAUCUGUUGCAGCAUCAAGCAGUAGGUUUUCUUAUGAUAAUGCAAUUUAGAGUCAGUCCUCCCUGCAUGCUUUGAGCCUUCAGCAAUAACGGCUUGUUAUUGCUCUUUGCACUAUCAUUUUGUGCUUUCCUUUAAUUAAAUUGAAAAUAGUUAUAAUUGAAACUGGCUGUUUACUAGGUUUCCUGCUUUUCUCAUUAGCUUUGGAGGACAUGGGGUCUCGGCUCUCCCGGAAGCUCUUGAGAGUCUGGUAUGACACAGGGUGCAGCCACAGAGGCAGCUGUUGCAUGGUUGCUUAUAGGUUUUUGGUCUACUGUAGGGAAGUCUGCUUAUUCAAAGAAUAUUUUAAUGUAUUACCAAAGUCACAUGGAUCUUUAAAAAAUAAUUCUGAAAAUACCAAAUAGUCACUGUAUAAAGCAGGUUUCAUAGUGACAUUCAUGUUCCAAGUGCAUUGUGCAUUUUUGACCAUAUUUACUCUUUAUCAUCUGUUCCCUCAUCUCCACUCCAGCUGGUCUCCCUCCUCUUCCCAGAGAGUCUGCCUUCUAUGUUCAUGUUGUGUGAGGAUGACAGGGGUGUGAGCCUACAUGCAUGCCACAGCACCCAUGUGGAUAUUGUGGGCCAGCUUUGGGAGGGAGUCUUCUACCAUGUGGAUUCUGGGACUCCCUCAGCCUGAGCCACAAGCACCUUUACCUGCCAGCCGUCUCAGCAUCCUGCUUAUGCCUGGAUCUUGAAGUGUUUAUAGUCAUUUCAGGUCUUAAAGUCACUUCUCCAGUGGACGUCCAGUUUCCCUGCACAGUUUGUUAAAGAGAUUGUCUUUUGUCUUUUCUCUCAUGUAUGCUUUGAUACCUUUACCAAAAAUUAGUCGUCUGGCGCUGUGUAGGUUUAUGUCUGGGCCCUUGGUCCCAUUGGUCGAUGUGUCUCUGUGCUGUGUGGGUUUACUUCUGGGUCCUCGAUCCCAUUGGUCGGUGUGUCUUUGCUGGCACCACACUGGAUAUCAGUAUGGCGAUAACCCCAGCGUUGUUCUAUUUGCUCAGGACUGCCCUGGCUAUUAGGGGUCCCUCCUGCUUCAGUAUCCAACUCAAGAUGUUUUCUAAUUCUGUGAAGAAUUGUCAUGAGAGCCCAUAGGUAGCUUUUGUAUGGUAGCCAUUUUCUCACUAUUGUCACCUCAGGAGCUGGAGGCCUUUCACCUCUAGUUUAUUUCUGUUUGUUUCUUUUUCAGUGCUAUGGUAAAUAGGAUUCUGUUCUGCUUUCUUUCCCAGUGGGCAGCAUACAUACAAGAAAGCUCUGAUUUUUGUAUCCUGCUGUUUGGCUGAAAAGGUUAAUCAGAUCUGAAUUUUUCUGUUGGAGUAUUUAGUGCUUUUUUAUUUUUAAUUUUUAAAACUUUAUGUGUUUGAGUGUUUUGUCUGUGUGCGUGUAAACUGCCUGCUGCCUUCAGAGGGCAAACGAGAGCAUUGAAGUCUAAAGUAACAGAUGCUUGCAAGCCGCCUCGUGGGUGCUGGGAACCGAACAGAGGGCAGCCUGCGCUCUCACCUGCUGAGCCAUCUCUCCUGCUGGUUAGUGUCUUUUAAUUAGCAAAUUGCAUCGUCUACAAACAGGGAUAAUUUACUUCUGCCUUUCCCGUAUGUGUCUCUUUCAUUUCUUCCUCUUGCCAUACUGUGCUAGCUAACACAGCAGCGUGUUAAGUAAGUGUGGAGGGGCUUUUGUCCUUCGAGGAAAUGGUUCGCUUUUCCUGCUGGUGUGGAGCUGCUGUAGGCCGCUCAUAUGCAGCCUGUGUGGUGUUGAACUGUGUUCCUUUUGGUCCUGCUUUCUUCAGGGCUUCCAUCAGGAGAUAGUGAACUUUGUCAACAUCUUUUUCUGCAUCUCUCACGAUGAUAAUGUAUUUCCGUUUUUGAGUCUAUUUAUAUCCUGUAUUAUAGUCACUGGUUUGUAUAUGAUGGGCCAUCAUUAUAAUCCUGCAAUUAAAUUAACUUGGUCAUGGUUUUUUAGUGUAUUGUUGAAUUCUGCUUGCAAGCAUUUUACAGAGAAUUUCUGUAUCCAUGGUCUUGGGGAUGUUAUGUUGAUCUAGGAUGGUUUUGUUGUUGUAUCUUUAAGUAACUUGGAUCUUAAAGGAGUUCCCCAGCCUUUUUUUCUCCAUUUUUCUGUUCUUGAGAAAUUGCUUUAAAUUUUAAUAAUUGUUUUUUAAGCCAGCCAUGGUAGGUCAUUACCUGUAACACAGCACCGGGAGGCUGGGGGUGAAAGAUUACAGGCCACAGUGUCAGUCCCUGUCUCAAACAACCAACAUCAGAAAGAGUUUAGGGCCAAGAAACACUGUAGCCUGGCCAACUGAGACCCAA